rnacentral:rRNA from 1 species
CGCUCCUUGAUUUUAAUUAAUAAGGAGUCGGACCUGCCCAGUGAUAAGNUAUUUAACGGCCGCGGUACUCUGACCGUGCAAAGGUAGCAUAAUCAUUUGCCCUAUAAUUGAGGGCUAGUAUGAAUGGUUUGACAAGAACAAUACUGUCUCUUUCAAAANUUUCUAGAAUUUAUUCUUUAGGUGAAGAAACCUAAAUAAAAUUAAAAGACAAGAAGACCCUAUCGAGCUUAAACUCUUUUUAUAAAAUAAAAAAAANUUAAUAAUAUUUUUUGUUAUAAAAAAUUUUGGUUGGGGCGACUAAGGAACAAAAAAAACUUCUUUAUUUAAUAAAGACAAAUAUGUAUUGAUCCAUAAAANUCUUGAUUAAAAGAAUUAGUUACCGUAGGGAUAACAGCAUAAUCUUUUUUAAGAGUUCUUAUCGAAAAAAAGGUUUGUGACCUCGAUGUUGGACUAAAAUUUCCUAAUAGAUGCAGACGUCUUUAAGGG